AGACUAUCACUGAGAUACGAAAUGUCUCUGCAGAGCUGGAAGGUCAGGAGCUGAGGAGAAUAUGAAGGGCUCCCAUCAUGCUGCUGAGUGCCCCUCCUCUCCUGGCCGUACGCUGAGGGCAGGUGGAGGCAGGGACAAGGGUCAGGAGCAAGGGCAGAAUGAUUUUUUGCUUUCUCAGUCUUCCUAGAAAGAAAGAAAGAAAAAAAAUCUAAAAUCUUUAAGAUAUGUGUGGGAUCUGUUGAGUCACGGCCUGAACCACGGAUUGAUCACCUGUGGAAAGGACCCAGUCAGCCCUGAGAGCACAGGUGAAAGCAAUUCAUGUGUGUGAAUGGAAGGAGGGGAGCCUGGCUGCAGCUCUCUUAGAUCUCAUUUAAGGGCUGACUGCUGCUGGGGAGGAUCUUUGCCUGGUGGAUUUGCCACAAGGUUUCUUACAAUGACUAACAGUAGAAGGAAAUGUGCUCUGAAGGGGUGUGCUUGCAAGUCGGCUCAAGAGAAAUGAAAAUCGUUGUAGCGGGGACCCUGCCUGGGAGCAGAGCAUUACCAAAUACGUUACUAUGCAAAGAAUCUCAUGUUGAAUAAUUUAGAAAUACCUUUUUGUUAGUGGUCAAGUAAAACAUGGCAACAGAGGGUAAUCUCAGGAAAAAGAGGGGAUAAAAACAUCUCUAUCAAGCCCAGACUUGAUGGGAAAGGAAGAGCUGAACAAGUGUGCGUGUCUGGGGGUGUUCAUCUUCUAGACUGCACCCAGAGAAGGAGAAUGAUUGUGAUGCUGCAGUCUCGGAACUCCAGUCAGUACACAAAUGGAAGGAUUUCUGGGCUGAGAUGAAUUUAUCUCCGCAGCUUCUAAUCUUUUGGAUUUUGUGUUCUAGUGCAGUGAAGCUUUUGGGCAUGAUUUAUCAUCACUAUAGCUAACACUGUAUGGGAAAAAAACUGACCUUAGAUCUUACAUCAAAGCUUUUAACAAAGCUUGUUUCCCUGGAUUUUACUUGCUUUCCAUUGUCUCCACCUCUCUGGUGCCUCUUUAAAAUAUAUGCCUAAUCUGAAAGCUGAGUGCAAGAAAUAUUUGUCUGACUUGUUUGCUCCCAUUCCGAAUCUUAUAAACACUAGUCUCUGUUGUGAAGGAGUCAUGUAUCAUUAAGAGUAAAUCUUUCUCGUACAAAAGCAAGAAAACAGAAGCAGUUCAAAUGUUGCUUCUUACAGCAGUACAGCAUCUCAGAACAGAGAAAAACACGGCUUGCAGAAACUUGAUUUCUGUCUUAUCAAAACAGAUCUUCAGCUAGUCUCAGUUGUCUUAGAUCUGACUCCUUCAAAGAAGUGAUUAUAAUUGAUAACUCCAGUCUCACCACAUCAGAGUUUUCACCUAUCAGUUGUGUGCAAGGAGAGUGACAGUACUGGCACACACAUCUUGGCGCUGAUGGUUCGAGAUGGCCAUAGAAUCAUAGAAUGGCCCAGGUUGAAAACGACCGCAAUGACCAUCGAGUUUCAAUGCCCCUGCUAUGUGCAGGGUCGCCAACCACCAGAGCAGGCUGCCCAGAGCCACUUCCAGCCUGGCCUUGGAUGCCCCAUCCCUGGAUGCAUUCACAACCUCCUUGGGCAACCUGUUCCAGUGCAUCACCACCCUCUGGGUGAAAAACUUCCUCCUAAUAUCUAACCUAAGCCAGCCCUGUCUCAGUUUAAGACUAUUCCUCCUUAUCCUACCACUUUCC
rnacentral:lncRNA from 1 species